rnacentral:lncRNA from 1 species
GAGAGGGAGGCGGAGGAGGUGAAGGGUAUGUAGGGAAGAAAGGAGGUGACGUGGCGUCUGGAGGAGUGGUGGAGGAGAAUGGGAGCUUAGGUAGGGGUGGAGAUUGAGGAGGUGAUGGUGGUGGAGAAUCUACUGGGAAGAAGGGCUCGUGGAGGACUCGACGGUCGGCGAGGGCGGAGGAGGAGAAGAGGAAGUAGAAGAACAAUAAGAAGAGCAUUGUGUUCUUUUUCAGUGAACUAGAUCUGAUACUGUAGGGACUCUCUCUUUCUUU